rnacentral:tRNA from 1 species
GGAGAGUUGGCCGAGUGGUCUAUGGCGCACGCCUGGAAAGUGUGUGUACGGCAACGUACCGAGGGUUCGAAUCCCUCACUCUCCGCCA